ensembl:lncRNA
CUGUCAGAUGUGAGGCGGAAGCAUGCAGCUUGCAGAGAGGAAGACACCUUCUCAAUAAUGAUACAGGAAAUAGAAACAUCAAGGCUGAGCUCACUGGAUUCAUUGAAGAAAAUGAGGAUGUUUACUGAGGUUUCCUCCAAUGCAGCGUUGAAGAUUAUGCAAAUAGAAGCAGUUUUAAAAGUGCUGGUAGGGUUAUUUAUUUAUUUUGUGAAAUUUAUUUAAUUUCAUUAUUAUUUUUAGGUGUGUGCAUGACUUCUCACUCAAGUUGUCACAUGUUCUGCUUUAACAGGUUAAAUUGCAUUUGAUAUGGGUUAAAUGGUCCUGUCCUUGACUGGAGAUUGUUUUUGUGAUUAAAGUUAUGAUCAUGUUAAUUUUUAACUAGUCACACACUCUGUGAUUUAGCGAAUUACAGUGCAGAGGCUUUGUCCUAUCUGCGCCAAAACAGUCUUUAGAUAUGUCUAACAUUUCUGUCAUACUGAAACAAAACUGACUCACAUUGAUUUUUCCAGACAUGUAACAAUAACAUUACAGUAUCAGAACAAAUCACUCUAAUUUUGACUUAGUUUGAGUGACUACAUGCCAUAGAUUGUGGGUUUGUCAUUUGUUAUCUGAGAUUUGUUCAGAGCUUUGCUUGCAUAGUAGACUAAAUGUGACGGUGGAUGAGUGAUCAUGCACAAAAAGACACUAAUGAAAGAAGUCAAAUGGAAAAAAAUAAUUAGCACCAGUGGGAUGGAUGAGCUCCAGGUUUUCGUCAGUAUUUGUUGCUUUUUGUGCAUAUCACAGUCAUCAAUAUUUGCGAAAUUGACAUAAGCUUUUUAACACUGAAAGGUUGAGACAUAGGUGAAAUUUAUCAGUGUGUUAGAGAAAUGUAUAUUUUAGGGCCUUAAACUGAUCAUCAGUUCUUCAACUUUUUUUGUUUUGUUUUCAUUUUUAAAGACCGGAAAAUACCACAUUUUUAAAAAAAAAAAGAAUGAGAUUUAAGAUAAAUUAUAGGAAGGUGUCUUUUUUGUAUAAUUUCUCUGACAAAAUGCUGCACAUUUCUUUGAAACUGAAAUAUCUUUUUAUGUCAAAUAACAGAACUAAAUUGAAAUUUGAAAACAAAUCCUAAAUCAAAUAAAUAAAUGAAUAAUACAAAUAAAAUAAAUCUC